AUAGACGUGGUCAAUGCGGGUCAAAGUGUAGUACAUAUCUGUUCUUAUCAGCUUAAUAUCUGAUACGGAUUCUGCUUGGACCCAAGAUAUUGAACUUAUUUUUGCAAGUUGGCAGAGUGCUUGAAGACUGGUUCACAUCCGCCACGAGUCAACCCUGUAUUGCACUAUCUCUGGCAUCGCCCCACGGUUU